UACGUAGGGCGCAAGCGUUAUCCGGAAUUAUUGGGCGUAAAGAGCUCGUAGGCGGUUUGUCGCGUCUGCCGUGAAAGUCCGGGGCUUAACCCCGGAUCUGCGGUGGGUACGGGCAGACUUGAGUGAUGUAGGGGUGACUGGAAUUCCUGGUGUAGCGGUGAAAUGCGCAGAUAUCAGGAGGAACACCGAUGGCGAAGGCAGGUCUCUGGGCAUUAACUGACGCUGAGGAGCGAAAGCAUGGGGAGCGAACAGG
rnacentral:rRNA from 1 species